AUACUCCGGUUUCUCUUCAGAUCGUUUAAAUCUUUCGCCUUUUACUAAAGUUUUCCAUGAAGCCAUUCUUCUUUUCCAGUUUCAGUCAGUUUUCUGUGUUGUACAGGACUAA
rnacentral:snRNA from 1 species